ACUACAGACAGGAGUUCUUUUCAAGAGCAAAGACCUAAGUACUAAGGUAGAAGCUCUGGAAUGAAGAAUUUGGAAACAGUUGAAAAUCAACAG